rnacentral:rRNA from 1 species
UACACCCUACGGGACGCAGCAGUGAGGAAUAUUGGUCAAUGGGCGAGAGCCUGAACCAGCCAAGUCGCGUGAAGGAUGACGGCCCUAUGGGUUGUAAACUUCUUUUGUCAGGGAGCAAUUGAGUCCACGUGUGGGCCUAGCAAGAGUACCUGAAGAAAAAGCAUCGGCUAACUCCGUGCCAGCAGCCGCGGUAAUACGGAGGAUGCGAGCGUUAUCCGGAUUUAUUGGGUUUAAAGGGUGCGUAGGCGGAAUAUCAAGUCAGCGGUAAAAAUUCGGGGCUCAACCCAGUCGCGCCGUUGAAACUG